CCCGACUGACUGACAGAGAAAUGCCGUCACUGUUGCUGGGAUGAGGCACACGACACGCCCCUUUGAAAGCCACCAUCACAGACAGUUAGCAUUUGCUCUUCCCUCCUGCACCUGUGGCGUGGCUGGGCUUAGGCUGAUCUAGUCUGGGCUUGACUCCAGGCUGAGCGUGGGAACCAUGUGUGCGCCACACGCCUCUCAUCCUGCAGCCAGAGCCGCUGUUCCCCAGGGCACGUGCAUCUCGUGGGGAAAAUCAAGAGCCUUAGAGGGCAGGCCUGGCAGUGCCCGCACAUUCCAGACUGCUGCUCGUGCUGUGUCUGUGCAAAUCUCGUUGGCAGAAGCAAGUCACCCAGCCACAAGCAACACCGAUGGGAUGGUUCCACAGGGGCCCCCAAAAGCCCAGAAGGUCUCAUUUCGGGCAUCUUACAGACCAUGGGAACCUGGCAACGCUGGGAACCCGGGGGCCAGCACCCACCUCAUUUCACCCUGUCGCUGUUUCCGUCGCC
rnacentral:lncRNA from 1 species